rnacentral:tRNA from 1 species
UCCCUGAUAGUCCAGUGGUUAGGACUGUGUACUCUCACUGCUGAGGGCCUGGGGUCAACACCUGGUCAGGGAC